CGUACACUCCUGCGGGAGGCAGCAGUGGGGAAUAUUGCACAAUGGGCGCAAGCCUGAUGCAGCCAUGCCGCGUGUAUGAAGAAGGCCUUCGGGUUGUAAAGUACUUUCAGCGGGGAGGAAGGCGAUAAGGUUAAUAACCUUGUCGAUUGACGUUACCCGCAGAAGAAGCACCGGCUAACUCCGUGCCAGCAGCCGCGGUAAUACGGAGGGUGCAAGCGUUAAUCGGAAUUACUGGGCGUAAAGCGCACGCAGGCGGUCUGUCAAGUCGGAUGUGAAAUCCCCGGGCUCAACCUGGGAACUGCAUUCGAAACUGGCAGGCUAGAGUCUUGUAGAGGGGGGUAGAAUUCCAGGUGUAGCGGUGAAAUGCGUAGAGAUCUGGAGGAAUACCGGUGGCGAAGGCGGCCCCCUGGACAAAGACUGACGCUCAGGUGCGAAAGCGUGGGGAGCAAACAGGAUUAGAAACCCGUGUAGUCCC
rnacentral:rRNA from 1 species